GACAGGUCCGAGACUUGUGGGUUUAGUUACGUGAGGCCCUACUGUAUUACACUUCAGGGUUAUUUUGAGAUGGUCACGAGAGAGCACUUGAACCCUGAACAAAGAACCUCUCUUGCCUUAUCCUAUUACAGAUGACAGUGAAGUGUUUUAAGUGCCCGGAGUCUGAUGCAACUGCAAAACCCCAACCAAAAGGUUGCCAAACAUCCUUGUUAUGGGACUCAAGAAAAAGCCACGUAAAAGGAAAGAAAGCUUUCCUUUCCUCUCUGGCCUGUCAAAGGGCAUUCUCCCCGCACCCAGACUCCUAAAGAGGAAGGAUUCUUGCUUAUGGAAGGAAAGCUAGGUGAGCCUAAAGAAAAAGUUGGGGAUGGAGGUAGUAGGAGUUAGAGUGAAAGGAAAACAUUCUGGGAAUGGAUGUUAGACGUUUGGAGAUGCUGGAGAAAGGUUUGCAACUGCAGAGUGCAAAGGAGGUAGAUGAGACAGGAGAGAGGAUUUUAAUAAGUGCUGCAGUGAAAUAUGCAUUUGGGUUUUUUUUUUUGAAAUUUCUUUGAGAGAUGCAAGCAAAAGUGGAAGACUUUUAUAAUUUUUUUUCUGUUGACUUUUGCUUCUUGUUUUUUUGUUUUGUUUUGUGUUUGAGACAGAGUCUCACUCUGUCACCCAGGCUGGUGUGUAGUGGUGCAAUCUCAGCUCCCUGUAGCCUCCGCCUCCCAGGUUCAAGCGAUUCUUGCCCCAGCCUACCAAGCAGCUGGGACUGCAGGUGUGCACCACCACACCCGGCUACUUUUUGUAUUUUCAGUAGGCAUGCGGUUUCGCCAUGUUGGCCAGGCUAGUCUCAAACUCCUGGCCUCAAAUGAUCUGUCCGCCUCAGCCUCCCAAAGUGCUGGAAUUACAGGCGUGAGCCACCGCGCCCGGCCAACUUUAGCUUCUUUAAAUGCAACUCUGUGCAGAGAUGGGUAUGUACGGAACUUCCCCCUUCUAGAUUUAUUAUUGUUACAUCUUUGUCCACACUUCACAUCCCUAGGCAAAGAUCAAGGAGAAGACUGUUUCUGGAAGAGGCAGAGGGAACAGACAACGCGAAGUCCCUAAAUGGGAACAAGUUUGAGUUAUUGGAGGAAGUCGGUGUGAGUGGAGUUUAGGGGAAGGCAGGGAGUUACAAAAUGAGGUUGGAGUGAUGGGCAGAGGUUAGAUCCUGCAGCACUCUGAAGUUCAGGAAAGAUUUCAGAGUCUAUUCUAAGUGUAGGGGAAAAUAAAUGACUUAAAACCUUCCAUUGGAAGGUUUUAAGAAGAGGAGUAGUGUUAUGAACCAAAUGUGUAUGUCUCCCCAAAAUUCAUAUGUUGAAAUCCUAACCUCCAAUGUGAUGGUGUUAGGAGGUGGGUCUUUCAGGGGUGAUUAGGUCAUGAGGGUAGAGCCUCAUGAAUGGGAUUAGUGCCCUUAUGACAAGAGACAGGAGAGCUUGCCGUCCUUCCGCACUCCAGCAUGUGAAGAUUCAAGAAGAUGGCCAUCUGUAAAACCAGGAAGUGGAUCCUCACCAAAUACUGGAUUGGCCAAGCACCUUGAUCUUGAACUUCUCAGCCUUCAGAACUGUGAGAAAUAAAUUUAUGUUGUUUGUAAGCCACCAGUUUAUGGAAAUUUGUCAUAACAGCACAAACUGAGACAAAUGGAAUGAUUUAUUUUAUUUUUUAAGAGUUUCUGGGCCAGGUGCAGUAGUUCAGGUCUGUAAUUCCAGCACUUUGGGAGGCCAAGGUAGGAACACUGCUUGAGCUCAAGAGUUUGAGACCAGCCUGGGCAACAUGGUGAAACCCCGUCUCUACAAAAAAAAAAAAAUACAAAAACUAGCCAGCCGUGGUGGCACACACCUGUGGCCCCAGCUACUGGGGAGGCUGAGGUGGA
rnacentral:lncRNA from 1 species